AAUAUUAAGCUUCUCAAUGAUCAAAAUUGGUGUUUGUCAAACUGCUAUAUAACCAGUGAAAUUUUUCUGACAAAAAGGUUGGUUAAAAGUUUUUGAAAUUUUUAUAUUUUUGUCAAAGAGUCAAAGUAAAUACCUUGUCAAAAUUUUAUGAAAAAUAAAUGAGCCAAAUUAAUUUUGAUGAAGGUGUUGGGUACCACCUUAAGGGGAACCACUUAUGGUAGGUCAAUGAUAUUUGGCACAUUUUAUUUCCAUGGUGAGAAUUGGAUCCUUUUUUCUCAGUCAUGGGUCUAAUGACUUCGAAAGUUUUGCAUAGUUUACAUGUUAAAGAUCAGGGUAAAUUGGAAAAGAACAGAAAUUUAAUGAAUAAAAAAAGAUGUCUGCUGUUGGAAUAAAUCAUGUUACUUAUAUUGAUUCAUAUACCUAAGCCUAUUAUUUUAUUAU
rnacentral:lncRNA from 1 species